GUGUUUGCGAGGAUAUUGUACAAAUAGGAGUGGGGCUAUAUAGAAUAGAUAUUAAUUGGUUUUUAAAAGAUAUUGAUAAAAUAUACUAAUAAUCCAUAGAAUAGGCAAUUCAAAAGAAGAGAUGAUCAAGUUAGUUAUUAAAAGUAGUUAAUAAUAGAAUUACGGUUAGGAUCUGAAAAAUCAAAGGAAAAUAUAUAGGAGUUGUAGAAGUUAGUUUUAGGGCGAGACUGUAAUAGUGAUGAGCCGGAGUAAGCUUGGUGCUACCUCUUUGUUUCUUUGUUGUUGAAGAAUAAUGGAUGAUUUAUGAAUACUGAGAAGUGAGUCUCUGGAAUAAUUCUAAGAUUGAUUUAUGAGUUUUUG
rnacentral:lncRNA from 1 species